rnacentral:rRNA from 1 species
UACGUAGGGGGCUAGCGUUGUCCGGAUUUAUUGGGCGUAAAGAGCGUGUAGGCGGCCUGGUAGGUCUGCUGUGAAAACUGGAGGCUCAACCUCGAGAUGUCGGCGGAAACCAUCUGGCUAGAGUCCGGAAGAGGAGAGUGGAAUUCCUGGUGUAGCGGUGAAAUGCGCAGAUAUCAGGAAGAACACCUAUGGCGAAGGCAGCUCUCUGGGACGGUACUGACGCUGAGACGCGAAAGCGUGGGGAGCGAACAGG